rnacentral:lncRNA from 1 species
GUGAUGGCUCCCCUGUAGCUGAAACAGCCACCAGACGUGGGUGCCAAGAACUGAGCUCAAGUCCUCUGGAAGAGCAGCUAAUCUCUGAGCCAUUUCUCCAGCUCAGUUCCUACAUCUCUUAACAUAAGUAUUUAUACCUGGCACUCAUCAGUGUUUGCCACAUUCCUGUUUGCUCAUUCAACAGUAAACCUGAGAAAUUGGGGAUUCAGCUGAAAACAGAGCCAUCUCUUGGAACGUGGAAUCUGCUGAUUCUCUGAGUAUACGUUUGUGUGCAGUGUUGUGCUCAGCCUCUCACCAGAGCACUGCUUUUCAGCUUUGGUACAUUGCCUGUCUGCCUCUGCUCCGGGAAUCACAUCUCAUAUCCCAUGCAGUUCACUUCCCAUCCCCUUCCCCCCUUUGCUCAGGAUGCCCAUGCUCUGUGUCUGCGGUGCUCGUGAGCAUGCAGCAGGCAUACUUCCUGGAUCCCCAGCUAGGAAGUGGGGAGAGGAAUUCUGAAACAAAGAAGGAGCCCCAGCCCAAGUCCCCACCUUAGGACCACACAGUUUGAGCAGAGCCUCUUACCAGCGGGAAGUCAUCAGGAUCAAUCCAGAUGAUACUGAGGUCGGGGUUCUCAGUGUUGUCUUGGGCCACAGCCUUGAGAGUCUCUAAGAACUCAUAGCCAUCUUGGAGGGAGCAGAAGUAAAAGUGAGGAGGAACAGACAGGAAAGGGACACAGGAAAUGAGUCCAGACCUAUUUCCCUACCUCCUACGACACCAACACCUUUCAAGCCCUAGGCUGCUUGCAAACUCCCAGGAAUGCCUUCCAUGUGAGGCCUACGAUCCAACAAAUACACCCCCUUCCCCCAGGCCGCUCCAGUGUCCUCUCCUCACCGGGAUCUGCUUCCUCUGCAAAGGCGACAAUGUGGAUUCCAUCCAGGUCAUCCUCCUGUUGGAGGGGAUCCUGUCAGCUCCAGAGUUUGAGUCAGCCUUGUCAUGUUCAUUGUCAUGCCUGUCACUUGAGACCUGACAUGGUCUUCGGUACAGAAACAAAACAAAUAAAAACCAACCCACGUGCCCCUUGGCUGAGACAC